rnacentral:lncRNA from 1 species
GAAAGACUGUAACAAACAUCACAGAAAGGCAGAAGUACCCCUCUUCUUCAGAAUCCAACCACAACUGGUGUUUGUUGGCAACUUAAGUCCUUCUUGAUUUCCCAUCAUCUGCUACCUUGUGCUGGAAGAUUUCAUGGAGUGAAACCUCCCACACUUUAACAGUGGGAAGUGAUGCCUCAUGGGGAAGAAUUGCCCUGAAAUGCUUUGGAGCAGCAGUGGGGUAUGAACAUCCAGCUGACCCAGCUCUGCUUCCAUCAGAGCAGUUUGGACUGAAGAAGAGCUCCUGCUGGGACAUUUUAAGAAUAAAAGCAAUUAACACAAAUAACAGUUGACUAUUUACAUUCUCAAGACCUGAUCUCUCUCUUAUUAAAAACAACUGAAAGACUCC